CGGGAAUAAAUCAACUCCUCCAGCGGCGUGGAAUUUUUCCUCGAGAGGAGGCGGCGGCGCAACGAAGACGCGACGGCGGGGGCGGCGCGCGGCGCGCGGCGCGAUCCGGAGGCGACGGCGACGGCACGGCGCUCACCUCCGGCCGCCAUCUUCUCUCCGGCUUUGGGAGGAAGGAAGUCUGAGAGGAUGCUGGUUCAAAUACUGAGUGGCUGAGCAAACAUGUACAUGAUGCUGGUUUUGUAAAGGAGCAAUAAAUGUGGUUCUCUGAACAUUGUAUAUUGCUGAUGUAACCAUUUGGCAUAGGAGAGUACUGGUGUGGCAGCCCAUGUUUAUUUUUUAUAGCUUGAAAGGUCACAUAAAUGCAAAUUCUAAGUAGAAAUGUCAAGUGAAUCAUGCCAUAUUUCACUUUUUUUUUAGGCUUCAUCAAUGUGUAUUUGAUGCAUCAGUAGCAAAUGAUGCAUGACGUUCAUGGGCCCAUGCUUAAUUAUCUCCUGGCUAAUUAUCUCAAGUGAAUCAUGAUAUAGUUUCAUCUUUUUC